rnacentral:rRNA from 1 species
UAGGGAAUAUUGGGCAAUGGAUGCAAGUCUGACCCAGCCAUGCCGCGUGCCGGAUGAAGGCCCUCAGGGUUGUAAACGGCUUUUAUUCGGGAAGAAGAGCAGGGGUGCGCCCUUGUGUGACGGUACCGAAUGAAUAAGCACCGGCUAACUCCGUGCCAGCAGCCGCGGUAAUACGGAGGGUGCGAGCGUUGUCCGGAUUUAUUGGGUUUAAAGGGUGCGUAGGUGGCUGAUUAAGUCAGUGGUGAAAUACAGCCGCUCAACGGUUGAGGUGCCAUUGAUACUGAUCAGCUUGAAAGAAUUGGAGGCUGCCGGAAUGGAUGGUGUAGCGGUGAAAUGCAUAGAUAUCAUCCAGAACACCGAUUGCGAAGGCAGGUGGCUACGAUUUAUUUGACACUGAGGCACGAAAGCAUGGGGAGCAAAC